UGCGGUAACGUCAGGGUUGGUGCUUGCGGCUGCGGCCGACAUCGGCAGUGCGGCGGUCGGUAGGUACGGAGCAUCGGCAGCGUCGGUCACGAAGGGGUGACUUGCUCGCGGUUCCUCUUUGUGGCGACAGAAAGAUGUACCACCGGCGAGGGGAGCUAGGGGAGGUAGCGGAGGCGGCGGCGGCUCCAUGCUCUAGCGGAGGUAGAACAAGGAAGGGACCGGUGCGGGGAGGGUCAAAGAAGGGGAGUAGGUCGAUCCCAAGAGUGGGCGGCGGCGAAGGGACGACGAUGGGCGGUGGCCUACGGGAGGUGCCUGUGGUGGUGGUACUACCGCCUUACUUCUCGUUCUCCCCAGCAGCUCCUACCCACGGCAGCACUCCUACGACCACGGGCACACGCCACUACCGUAACACCGCCUUCUUCCAGAAGAAGGACCCCUCGGCGAUGGUCGGAGGCAGAGGUGGGCGCCGGUGCGAUUUUUCUGUCCAAGUCCAAGCUAUACAGUCCAGACUUCAUGCGAGGACUCAAUUUCUUUCUGGAGCUCUCUGAGACAUCUCAUAAACACUACAUAGGAAGUGAAUGGCACGGUGCCCCAACAGCGCCUAUAACCACCUCCUGAACCACCUGAUCGCGUUUUACCUUUAGAUAUUUCUUCACUUUGAUUAGUCGAUACCAAGAGGACCUCAUAAACACGUUGGUCGUCCGGCGGGUACUCUUUAUACUACAAGAAAUACGUAAAUUUUUUGAUGAUUUCCCUUUCAACACUUACACAUUCAAAACGUGGUCAUCUAAGACUUAAUACAACAAAUACGAAAAUUUUCUAUAUGUUAAGAACUUGGAAAAGUCUUAAUACAUUAGUAGGGGAGUUUGAGUCACAUAACGUCUCGCAUACGCAGUCUCCGGUCAGCCGUCUCCACGUACGUCCAAACACGAACUCCCACGUGCGCUCGGCCGCCGAUGUCCGUCUCCCACGUCGGACACACACGCACAACACCAGCGGACUAAACUAACAUUUAGCACAUCUCGUUUCCGCCGAAGACACCGCGGCCUCGUUGUUAAAGUCACUCGUGUACCUGAACUACGUCCCUCCCAGCAGCUUCUCUUCCUGCCGCCGGGUCGGAUGUGUACUACCUUGUGUGUAACGGCUGCUACGCCAUGGUCCGGACCUCUUCUCUAGGGCUCCACAAACUACUUUACUGGAAGCAGGCUUUUAUGAACAGUAGUUUUACUUAUUUUCCUCUAGUGUUACAACCUGUGCUGGUGGAUUCUUAGUUUAUAAAAAUCAACCUUAUGAUAAAAUUACUAGUUAGUGUUACAACCUGCGCUGGUGGAUGAAUAAGGGCUCUGAAAUUCAGAAACCACCGAAUUCGUGUUAUACGGGCCGUAUACAAGAUGUAGACGCCGUACAUUACUGGGAUGACCGUAAAGUUCUCCAGACAUUUAUGUUGUGAGAAGGUUUCAUAAAGGUUCAUUCACAAGUGGAGCACUCUAAAUAAUUUACAAAAUCUAUAGAGCGAACACUUACGAGUAGCCAUCGAUUAUAGGGCUCAUAAAACUAUUGCCCAAAUCUAGACCUGUCAAUAACUCGGACGUAACUACUUUAUCAACUGUUUCUUCCUUGACUUUACUCCAAUAACUCCGACGUAAAUUCUUAAAACCAACUACUCGACUAUAGACUGGUUUUUGAGUUCUUGAUCUUCGUUCGGACUGUAGGAAAAAGACAUUAGCCAUAUAAGAGCCAUCGUUCGGACAGUAGGAAAACAUAGGUGUACUCCGAAUCCCCGGCAAACCUAAUCGUGGUUGCAGCUAUGAUACUCGUCACUCGUUCAGUACAUAUUUCGUUUUUGUUUUAUAACCAGACGAUAGUUUACCAUGUAAAUAAACUUGAGAUUCCCGUCCAAGUCCCAGAGUACUUCUCCCGUACACAAACAUAAUCCACUCUAGACUUGACUAAGACUGAUUACACUUUAAUUAAAACAACAACUACCUAGACGUUAAUAAAUACACGUGUCUUCACGACAUCAACUCUUCGGACUCUUCUUAUAUAGUGAAUCCAUGUCUAAGCUCGAUCCCAAAAAGUAAAAGAGGAAGGUUAGGUAAAUAAUACGCUAUUAAACGGGUAUUUUCUGUAUGUACUACCAGCAGCAACCUGUCUGAUAUAAACAAAUGAAGAUGGGUAUUUAAAUUUCAGGACUUGUACAUAUAAUGUGUAGAGAACGUCCUAUAUAAUUAUAAUUUGAUACACACGCAAGGUGACGUAAGUAGAUAAAUUCCGUACUAUAAACAUUCGAACCAAGUCCGACGGCGCGUAGAUAGAUAUAUUACGUGUUAUAAAGAUACGAACCAAGUCCAACAAAGGCUGUUGGUAACCGUUAGACAGGGAUACAGUAAGGAGAAUAUAUAUGUAUUCUUGACAGAUGUGUCUAGUCUCACACACAUACUCCCAGCAAAGGUAAACACAAGACAAGGGAAAUAACAAAAUAGUUACAUUUUGGGAACUUUUUAAUAGGUAAGGAAAAAGUGUCUAGUCUUCCAAAACGUCAACUGUUCGAAUGUCCAAACUCGUGGGGUUUGUUGCCCCACCCGGGAAACUGGACACCCAAGACGACCAUGGUUCUCUUCCUCCAAGGAAAAUUGGACGUCCUCGAGACGGUUACCGUCGCACGAAAGGAACUGUUACUACACCAUGACGUGCAUGUGUUGUACGUCGUUCACUUUAGCCGCGUUCUCCCGUAGAACGUUCGUCGUGGUUUAGGAUAUAAUACCCUGGCUCACUCAUAGAGUUUCUUCUUUAUUAAAAAAACUACAUCCUUAUAGACAUCCGACUAAUACGAAACUACAUAUCUAGCGUCAUCGUGAAUCUAUUUUAUAUUCAAGAAUCGGUCAAGUUAUCAUGAAAACAGCUUGUUUCGAGUUAACUGUAAUGCGCUUUUGGAACUCUUAUGGACUCCCCUGUUCCGUUCACAACAAACAUUACUGAACACAAUACUAUAACGUUUUAUCUAAUCUGCCUUUUCAUGUAUCGUAACGGUACCUUAUAAAUUAUGAAAAUCUAGACGG
rnacentral:rRNA from 1 species